GAAUUUUGCCUUUAAAUUUGAUUCCUGGUCAAGAUGAACGCGGACGGCGUGCUUAACACAUGCAAGUCGAACGGGGGUCAUAUGACGGAAUUGUUCGGACGGAAAUGGUGUGACUCGAGUGGCGGACGGGUGAGUAACACGUGAGCAACCUUGCUUUUUGAUGGGGAAUAACUGUGGGAAACCAUGGUUAAUACCGCAUAUUGUACCGACUGGGCAUCCGGUUGGUAUGAAAGGAGAAAUCCGGCAGAAGAUGGGCUCGUGUCCGAUUAGGUAGUUGGUGGGGUAACGGCUCACCAAGCUUACGAUCGGUAGCUGGACUGAGAGGUCGAACGGCCACAUUGGGACUGAGAUACGGCCCAGACUCCUACGGGGGGCAGCAGUGGGGAAUAUUGGGCAAUGGGGGAAACCCUGACCCAGCGACGCCGCGUGAAGGACGAAGGCUUUCGGGUUGUAAACUUCUUUGGGGAGGGACGAAAUUGACGGUACCUCCAGAACAAGCCACGAUUAACUACGUGCCAGCAGCCGCGGUAAUACGUAGGUGGCAAGCGUUAUCCGGAUUUACUGGGUGUAAAGGGCGCGCAGGCGGUUCUGAAAGUCAGAUGUGAAAGAUCAAGGCUUAACUUUGACAGGUCAUCUGAAACUUUGGGACUUGAGUAUCAGAGGUGAAAGUGGAAUUCCUGGUGGAGCGGUAAAAUGCGCAGAGAUCAGGAGGAACACCGGUGGAGAAGGAGACUAUCUGGCUGACAACUGACGCUGAGGCGCGAAAGCGUGGGGAGCAAACAGGCUUAGAUACCUUGGUAGUCCACGCCGUAAACGAUGAUUACUGGGUGUAGGGGGUAUCGACUCCCUCGUGCCGAAGCAAACAGCGAUAAGUAUCCACCUGG
rnacentral:rRNA from 1 species